GAAAAAUAAAAUGACCCGUCACAACAUUGGUAAGUUUCAUACACUAUUAAACUGUUAAUAUAAGCUUAUAUAGUGUAUGUGUGAUAGAAUUGUGAGGAAAAGAAAUGAAAAAUGAGGGUGUGUGUGUGUGUGUGUGUGUGUGUGUGUGUGUGUGUGUGUGUGUGUGUGUGUGCGUGUGCAUUGUUAAGUCUUGCUUCCUUCUUGGGACGAUGAUGCAGUAAUUGGUCUUCAUUUUGAUUGUAUAUGAUUAAUUACAUAAUUAUUUAUUUAUUUUACCUUUUAUUACAGCAUUUCAAAACUCACUCGUCGACGAGGUGAAUUGGCUUGCGAAUGAUCUCCACAAGGAAUGGAAAGCUCUGAAUGACAUCCUGACAGAAAUCCAGUUCGUUUGUCAGGCAUUUCACAACGACCUCAAGAAAUGCAUGAAUAACUUACCUCCGAGACCUCCAACAUCACAGAAUUUACCUAAUGUUUCAAUGUCCUUUUAAUAUUUUCUUGAAAGGUAUUACACAUAAUAAAAUACAAUGGGGGGGGGGGGGGGGGGGGGGGGGGGGGGGGGGGGGGGGGGGGGGGGGGGGGGGGGGGGGGGGGGGGGGGGGGGGGGGGGGGGGGGGGGGGGGGGGGGGGGGGGGCAGACGGUGCAUAAAUUUCGGUAACAUCAGAGUGAGCUGGUGUGCUCCGAACCAGGAAGUAAUUUUUUUUCUCUUUCUUUUCUCUUUUUGUUUUUCCUUGCGACGACAUUGCAAAAAGGCAAAAUACGUUGGCGCUAAUUGAAUAAUUCGCCAUUAAAACUAAAUUGCGAAUAAUCGUAACGGUGAUAUGUGAACUUCCGGGCCACGCACGUACGGGUACGCGAGAGCGAAGAAACGGCUUGUCUGGUUGUUGUUUCUUGCUCGCGGUUUGAAAUUUUAUUUUUUUUUUUUACGGGCACGUACUAGUAAAAUACAAUUGUGUUAAAUGGGUGCCUGUGUUUUAUGUUUUUACAGUGUCAAUCAUGAAGAAAGUGCAGAUAUCUUGCCUCUUGUUCCAAACAGUCAUCAGCGGCUUCCCAGGGUGCACAAGAUCCGCAAACAACCCCCUUCUGGAAAAACUACCAAAACCACGAAUCACUGCUCACCUUCACUCCUUCAUUCCUCUUUUCCCCACCUUUGGAAUAAACUCCCACACUCUCUUCAAUCCCAUUCUUCCCUCCAGGCUUUCAAAACAGCUGUUCACCACCCCCCCCCCUCUCUUCCCUCCAGGCUUUCAAAACAGCUGUUCACCACCACCUCUUAUCUUCCCCCAUCCAAAACCUCGAUCUUUUCUACCCCUGUUAAUCCAACCCAAACCCACCUCCUUCAAAUUCCCUGCUUUCUUUCCUCAAAGUCCCUGUAAUGUCCAUCUUGUAUACCCCAUGUUCCCCGCCCUAUUCCUCUCCGUUCCACAGAUCUCCAAAUGUCUCUGUUCCCUGCUGUUUUGUCCUUCUCUCUCCCACCCCUCUUGCUGUGUGUUGUGUGUUAGCUCUCAUACGAGCUUCGACAAUGUAAACAAACAAACAAAAAACCAUUUUUGAAAGUUCAUUCGUCCAUCGUUUAGUGUAACCUUUUUCAAAAUGAGAUUUCCACCUGUAUAUUCUUACUAUAUCACCAACUUUGAACUUAGGCUUUUCUCAGAUUGAACUCUUUUCGUAUUCUAAUUUUCAAAUGUUUCUGAUGGCUUGGAUUUUGUUGUGGUGUGAAACAUAUCGUUGUACUUCUCAACAAUGUCCUGACUUAAAGAUAACCAUUGUUGAGAACCGAGUUGAGUGAAUUUUUUAUAAAGUCCCUCUUUUAAAGUGCGAUUGAAACGCUCGAUAACAACCACUUUUCCUUCGUUUUAGGUGCUGUAUCAUGUAAUGCUGUUAUUUUUCAGAAAAUUCAUAAAUGUUUUGUUGUAUAACUCUGUGCCCUCAUCAGUCCACAAUUUUUUUGAGGUUUUCUCUUACUUUUAUUAAAUAUCUGUUGGCAGGUUAACAUAAGAGUAUUACCUCUUUUGUUUUUCAAAGGAACAACCCACGCAUAUCUACUCCUCAAAUCAAUAACGGUUAAAGCAUACUUUCACCCCUUUACUUAUUAAUGAGUUCAAUCAAGUCAGCGGACCAGAUACAAUCAACUUCCUUGGAAUAAAUCUUCCUUCUAUUAAACUUUGUGAUUAUUGGUUUAUGUAAUUCAUCAGCUAAUUGCUCUUCAAUCUUACUGACAUCAUGAGAGCCCAUACGUUUUUUUGAAUUUCCAAGCUCAAGUUUUAAUUUAGCACUGAUCAACUUUUUCUCUCAUGGUCGGAUUUUGUCUCAAAGACAAAUUUUACAGCAUUUCUCAAUCUGCUUCAUGUUUUUCUUCCAAUGUCGUGCUAUUUCCACAAUCAAUAUCGUGCUUCAUACACACUUCAUCAACUCUGUUUUUUUUUUAGGUUUAGACCAAGGUUUAGGAUUGUUAGCCCUCAUCUAAUCUUUUAUCCAAGUUUGUUCCUGAACCACAGAAAGAAUACCCUGGUAGAUGUAAAUCCCCUGGUGUUACAGUUGUUGUAAAUUUACUUCCUGAGAAAAAAACUUUUGUUUAUCUCCCCCACGUUUUUGUUUGGAGAUUAAUUUACUCUUUUUGAGCUGCACACUGAACAUAUCCCUUUUUAUGUAACCAUAUUAUUUUUACUUUUAACAAACAAGAUAUUUUUAGUGUUGGUUUUAUUUUUACAUUUGAGACAAUAACUCAUUUAUGUAUGAGAAAAAUUCCUACAGAGUAUGAAAACCCAUUUAGUGAACAACAUCUACAUUUCAAUCUUAAUUUUUAAAAUAUGAAGAAUCCUUAGAAAUGUCUUCACUCUCUCCUCUAUUUAUUGAAGAAAAAAAAUGCAAAACUUUAAACAAACUCAAUUAUACCAACAUCGUCAAUAAUAUAAUCUUUCUCUUCUUUAUCUCCACUUUCUCGUUAAAAUCUUCUCCCUGAAAUCGCAGCUUAUACUCCUGACACAUGUAUUUUUGCUGGACUUGUUAAUUCUUUGUUUUCCUCCUCAGUGCAUUGAGAUCGAUUUAUUUUGUGUAAUACAUCCAAUCUCUUUUUUUAAUCUCACUGGUUUCCAUAUUUUUCUAUUUAUUCAUUCUCUCUUUUUCCUCCCUCUUUCUCUCUCUCUCUCUCUUCACCCUGAGCCAUAGGUAUCAUGGCUUUCCUUCUAGAACACCCAAAAUUGCAUAUGUAAGUGCUUUGGUUUAGUUUAACAUGUUGACACCUUCUUUUAAGGUAUGAUACAUUGAGUGGUUUCUUUGAGUUAAGUCUUCUAUUCAACAUCUCUUCUGUUUUAAGAUUAGGAGACCUUGAGUCUUUUAAGGUAUGAUACAUUGAGUGGUUUCUUUGAGUUAAGUCUUCUAUUCAACAUCUCUUCUGUUUUAAGAUUAGGAGUAUAUUCACUAAUAUACCAACUCAUUUUAUCAAUAACAAUUUUAUUCUGAUCAUCAAAAGCAUUAGCAGCACCAAAAAGCAAUCUUUUCAUUAUCUUUCCUUUGUAGUUGAAAUCUAAUUUUAAGUCCAUGCAGAACUUUAUCAUAAUCACAAAAUCCAAAUAUACUUUUAAGAGGAACUGCCACAGUAAAACUAUUACCUGCUUUUGUAUCGUCAUUAUACAUUUCUUUUCUUUGACUAUAACGAGGGUCUGUUCCCAUUGUCAUAUCAGGAAUAAAACCUUUGACAGCACACUUUAUCAUUCUAUCCCGAAAUGAAUAUCGUGUAAAUUUCAUCAUUUCAGAUGUAGCAGAGACAUAAUCAACCGCUUCAACUUCCUGUGUUCCAAUAUACAAACACUAUCAAACAUUUUCCAGAAGAAAUCACCUGAGUGUAGCAUUUGUGUUAUUUCCAGCCUUAAUGAAUGCAUAUUUACACAAGAAGAAGUUGUCAGCAAAAUUCAAAUAAGUUUGUUGAUUGUUUUAUUUCAAAACUUUUCGUUCCAUUUGUAUUUGAGUCUGUUCCUGUUAUAGCAUUUACCUUGAAGUAGUCUUCUUUUUUAGUCGAGUUUGAGAUGAUAAUGGUAUCAUCCAAAUGAUAGAUGCUAUCAAUUGCUUCCACACUUGUAUUCAUUUAGUAAAAAAAAUAGAUGUUAAAACUUUUGAAACCCUGACCCAAGUAUUAGUUUUCUUUUCUGUCGUUCUUGGGGAGACAACUGAGUUUUGCCUUUCUUAAUUUAUUUUAUUGCUUGCAAUUUAUGGGAUUCCUUUUGGGCAUCUUUUAUACUCUUUCUUGCACCCAUUAUAUUUCCCACAGCAGAAGCAGUUGAACCAAUUAGGUUUUUAUGUUUAAGAAUAGUUGAACCUAAACCCAUUAGAGUGUCAAUUAUCCCAUCUCCUUUUUUUCUAAAUUGAUGUCCUGCAUCACGUUGUCUAUUCGGUUUAUAGUAUCCUCUACCAAGAUACAUACCUUCACCCUUAUAGUAUGGGGGAAAGGAACAUCCUAUCAACUGUAAUUAUUUUAUAUUUUCCCAACUUGUGAUUCCUUACAAUAACCAUCGUAUUUAUUUAUUGGAAAACUUCAAUUCGGUGAAUUGAAGUUCUUUCUCCAUUAAAUUUCUCCAUUAAAAAUAAAUCAUGCAAUUACCUUGGUUGGUUAUCCUAAAAUUUACUCUGUAUGUGGUUUUUCCAGACACAGGUAGAUAAACCAGAUGUUUUUUUGGUUCCAUAUUGAAUUUAUAACCAAUUGGGGUUGAGUAUGCACUGAAGGAAAAUAUUGUAUUUGUUUUUAUUCCAUCAUCAUAAGCACCAUCAAUCAAAUCACAGUGAAUUAAUACCGAAUUUAUGCCUGAGGAUAUUUCAAUGACAUUAUCAUUGUAAAACGUUCCAUUACUUUCAAUCUCUUUUGAGGAGAAACACAAUAACUCUCUA
ensembl:lincRNA